rnacentral:rRNA from 1 species
GACGUAGGGCGCGAGCGUUGUCCGGAUUUAUUGGGCGUAAAGAGCUCGUAGGCGGCUUGUCGCGUCGGCUGUGAAAUCCCGUGGCUCAACUGCGGGUCUGCAGCCGAUACGGGCAGGCUAGAGUUCGGUAGGGGAGACUGGAAUUCCUGGUGUAGCGGUGAAAUGCGCAGAUAUCAGGAGGAACACCGGUGGCGAAGGCGGCAUCCUGGACCGGCAUUGACGCUGAGGCGCGGAAAGCCAGGGGAGCAAACGGG